GUAUGAAACCCUUGCCCCUGGCUUCAAAUUCUCAGGGUGUAUGGUCUGGGACCCCCCAUAGGGGAGCCCUUAAAAGGUGGCUCGACACAGUCAUGCUAUUGCUGGCUCUGCUCCACCUGAGGUGAGAGAGAGCCGAGUGUGCCAGGAGGUCACAGGUAUACCACUGCAAGAGGGCCCGGCCAGGUGUUCUCACUUAUCAGCUCUGGAGCUUCCUUUAGAGGAGACACCAGUUUCUAUGGCAAACAGCGAGUCCAGGGCUGCACCCGGAUAAAGACCAUCACUUCCCAGUGGACAGAGAGUGUUGCUCUCGCGUCACUUCCUGCAGCCGUGCCUACCACAGGCCAUUAGAAACAAGUUUCCUCAAGACCUAGUCCAUCCUGCAUAAUCUCCUUCAUUCCUUUUUUUAGGUACUGGGGAUCAAACUUGGGUCCUUGCACUUGCAGGGCAGGCAUUGGAAUCACUGAGCUAAAUUCCCGGCCCCUCCCUUCAUUCUUGACCAACUGCAUUUGUCGACUUUGCUCAGCAGAGAUCUCUGGGAUUGGAAUAUACUGGAACUCAUGUCUUUCCCAGGUCGCUUGGCCCCUUCAAAGUUGCUGAUGGGAGACAUCUAGGACAAUACCGACACCAGGUUUUCACUAGCUCCUCAUACUUCUGUUUCUGAGGAGGACAAGGUUGGUGUAUUCACAGGGCUUCUGACAGUUGGAAGAUGAGCCCUUGGACAGGGAAAGACUGGAACAUAGCUCACCCUCUGCCUGAGAUUCACACAGCCCUCCGUCAAUGCCAGUGGGUGAGGCCCUUCUGCCAAGUUUUCCUGAGCCUCCCCCAUCCCACACAACACAAGCGCUACUCCAUUUCUACUUAUCCCAAUGUCGUGACAACUGCUUCUUUCUUUUCUGCUCAAUGCCACUUUGUCGUCCUUGUGAUUCAUGAUCACUAUUCAAUUCUAUCAUUGUUCCUGUUCCUGCUUCUUAGAAUCUCUUCUCAUGAAUGCUUCAGUAUUCAAUGAAUAAAUCAACUUUUUUA